rnacentral:lncRNA from 1 species
CUAAGCUUUGAAUUAAUUUGUAUCACUUUGCAUAAGGGAUGAUAGUUUUUUUUUUCUUUUUGAGAGAUAAGUAGCACGCUACCCGCUUCGUUUAUUUCAUUUAGAAAUAACUCAGCUGAAAAUGUGAAUCAACUAGGAUUCGAACUUGGGUCUCGGAUACCAACCACCCUUUGCCACUUUUUCUAUGAACGGUCAGUACGAGGGAUGGUAGUUGUCGGCCAAAACUUUGAUAUAUAGAUAAGGCCCACAUUUACACAUUCAUAUAUGGCCUUUUAACUUUUAAGAGGAAUUUUUUAAUUUUUUAAUUUUUUUUUGAGAGAGAUAGCUGCUAUCGGUUUCAUUUUUUUUAUUUAGAAAUAAACUUAGCUAUAAAUGUGAAUCAAUUAGGAUUCGAACUUGGGACUUCGGGUACCAACCAUAAAGUCCUUUGCCACUUGCGCUAGGAACAAUCGGUUUAAAUUUUUUUUUUUGAGAGGAGCUAAAAUUGAGGAUACCUAAUACGAUUUGCAGUGAAUUUUAUGUAUUCCUUUAGGUAGUGUUUGGUUGGGGAACAAGGGAGGGAAUAAGCCCUUGUUCCCCCCUUUAUUCCCAAACGCAAUAUUUGUUGCCCGGGAACAGUAGUUUCAGAAUUUUAAGAACAAGCAGGUAUAAGGCUGGAACUGCUGUUCCACCUUAAUCUAAUUAAUAUAUUUAAAUUAUUAUUUAUUACUUUAAUAAUUAAGUAAUUAAUUAAUUUAUUAUUUGUAAUUAAUUAAUAAUAAUUAGAUAAUUAUUAUAAUUAAUUUAUUAGUGAUAAUUAAUUAUUAAUAAUUAAUAAUUAAUAAUAUUUAUUAUUAUUUAUUAAUAAUUACUAUCCUUAAUAAUUAGAUAAUCGAUUGUAUUAAUAAUUUAUUAUUUAUAAUUAAUUAUUAAUAAUUAUUAAUUAGACAAUCGCUAUUAUUAUUAAUUUNUAUUAAUAUUAAUUAUUAUUAAUAAUUAGAUAAUCAAUAUUAUUAAUAAUUUAUUAUUUAUAAUUAAUUAAUAAGAAUAAUUAAUAAUUAUUAUUAUUUAUUAAUAAUUAAUAAUAAUAAUUAUUAUUAUUAAUUAGAUAAUCGUUAUUAAUAAUUUAUUAUUUAUAAUUAAUUAUUAUUAUUAAUUAUUAUUUAUAAUUAAUUAUUAAUAAUUAAUUUUUUAUUUAUUUUUAAGUAAUAUUUUUAUGUUAAUUAAUUACAUAAUAUAAUUUUAAUUUCAAAUUAUAACAUUUAUUCCUCUUGUUCCAAUCUAAUCAUCCAAACACUAUUUACCUUAUUCCUAGAAACAACCCAAUUUUCAUCCAAACGCAAAAUUGGUCCAGUUCCUGCUUAUACCUGAACUUGUACCUAUCCCUGGAACUAGUAAUUCUUACUUAUAUCCGAACCAAACGCAGCCUUAGACUCUUUCCAGUGGAAAGCAAGUUAUUAUACAAGCUAAGGCAAAAUACAUGUUCUCACUCUCUAUGUUCUAAUCACGAGUUCCCAAAAAACAAAUUAUAUGAUUUUGCACAAAGCUAGGUGCAUAAGGGACAAAAAUCAAGCUAAUUAAAGAGAGGAAGAUCCAUUUGUAUAAUUUGAUGCUCUUGCCGCGACAUGUCACGGUAGAUAUCUGCAGGUCAAAUUGCGGUCGAAGAUGCACGCGAAGAAUCCAAUCUUAAUGCCAACGUGAAAGCGCGCUUUAGAGCUUUUUCCAAACUUUGUAUCUCUACUUCCCACAUCACACCCGGACAAAAAUUUUAUGGGCAUCCGUCCCCAAACAACUUAUUUGGGGAUGGAGCAUAUGGACGCCAUGUGGUGUGCAGGCGUGACCGUCUUUCUCUCACUUGCUUCUUUCUCUCUCUCUCUAAAAAGUUGGAGGCCAUAAUUUUUUUUUCUUUUCUUUUUUUUUUGUUUCUGAGGGUGGCGAUGGAUGCCAGUACACCAUGCGGCAUCCAUCGGCAUCAUCCCCAAAACUUGUUUCGGGAUGAUGCCCAUAAAAUUUUUAUCCCCUCACACUCGGGCGAAGGCACAAUUUUUAUAUAUAUAAAAAAAUCGCUUUUGAUGAUCAACAAAGUUUUAAGCAUCACUUCUAACUUUUAUUUUUUUAUAUAUUUAUAAAUUAUACUAAACUAAUUCUAUCAUGCAAUUUUGUUAUGAGAUAUAUAAUUAUUUAAAGUAUUGCAAGAAAAUAUAUAUAUAUAUAUAUUUUAGACAAAAAUAUUACACUACCUGUCUCAUUCAAGAAGAAAUUGAAUUUAGCUACAACUAUGAGGCAGUUGGGUCUCGGAGUUGCAAGAAAAAUAUUAUUAAUUUUUUUGAUAAGUUGAUUAGCUAAAAUAUUUUUUUAUUAAUUUUUGUUACAAGAAAGGCAGUAAAUAUUAACAAUUUACAUUAUUUUUCCUUCACUAAUACAAAGAAAGGAUAAUUGUUUAUACACUCCUCAAAACUUCUAUCUUGUAUAUUCCUUUUUUUUUUGUUUCAAAUAUACCCAGCAUAUAUGUCUCUGUCAUUUUUUAAUAACCACCCGUUAAUUAUCUUGGAUUAAACCCAAAUUAAAUUUCUAUCCGAGUUAAAAUAAAAUUAAAAUAUCUCUUUUGUCUCUAAUUUAAGAAUAAAUAAAAAAAAUUGGAGACGGUAGAAGGAUGUAUUUUAAAAAAUAAAAUAAUAGUUUCACAGAAAUAACAAAUGUUUUAAAUAGUUUACCAAUCGAAUUUAACUUUAUAAAUAUAUUUGAAAUAAGUUAAAAUAUUAAAAGAAUAUAUUUAAUAGUAAUCUUCUAAAAAAAAAUAAAUACAAAAGUUGAAAACUUUUCAAAAAAUAUAUAAUAAGCAAUUGACCCUAUAAAAAAAUUUAAGAGCCAAGUACGGGCAUGUGUCCCCGACUCUCGCUUGACCCUUUUGAGAAAGUUUACUGUAUCACAUUUGAACCAUAUCAUCAAUAACAAGCUAAUCACAUCUCUUCGUUUAAAAAAAAUAUAUAAUAAAAAUAUUUUUAUAAUUAUGAUGGAAUAAAUAAAUUUUUUAAAAAAUAUUUGAUGAAUAUCACGUCAUUUUUUUUUUUUUGAGAAAUAGAUAGCACGCUACCCGCUUCAUUUAUUUCAUUUAGAAAUAAACUUAGCUACAAAUGUGAAUCAACCAGGAUUCGAAUUUGGGUCUCGGAGAGUAACCACCAAGUCCUUUGCUACUUGCUCUAGAGAUGAUCGGUAUAUCACGUGAUUAAUAUAACCGAUAUAUCGCAUCCGUGCCCAUGACCCAAGGUUCGAAAAGGAAGGACGGGAGGAGAAUGUUUGCGUGAACCUCAACCGGCCCCUUUGGAAUCCUAGUAAAGGACUUGGCCACUUUUGCUUUUUCAUCUUUUUCACUUGGGAGGAUAAAAUAAAGAGAUAAGAUGAUGGGCAUCUUCUUCUCUCCCCGGUCUCUCCUCGCCCUUUUAUAUAUUCUACGUACCUUUCCUAAGCCUUUAGCCUAAGCUAUAUACUCGAGUGACACAGUGAUCCAACGUUAGCCAACUCUUUUUUGAACAAGUCCUUGAAAUGCUUUCCUAGUGUUUUACAAAAGGGAAUGUUCCUAUACUCAAGGAAAACAACCAAGGGGCUCUCUGGUUCUACCGAAAAAUAUGAAAAAAAUAAUUUUUUAUAAUUUUUUUUUCAGUUUUUUAUUUAUUUGAUUGCAAGAAAAAUUAGAGACUGUUUAGUUUAUCAAAAAAAUUGUAAAAAAAAAAAAUUAUGUCCAUUUGGUUGUAAAAAAGACUAGCUUUUUCGAAAAGCUACUUAAUUUCCAAAAUUUAUAGGAAAAGUAACAUCUUCGUUUUUCUUAAAAACAUUGAAAAAUUGAAACAUCAAUUUGCCAUGAAAUUCGAAAAUUAGUUUUUCAUAAAUACAAACCAAACUAGCGGAAAACUGAAAAAUAAAUUUUAUGAAAAUUUUUUUUUGACUAAAAAUCUUUUUCCACUCUUUCCCGAGCAAAGCAAAUAUUCCCUUAGUUUUUUCUUUUAGAUUUUAUAGAAAACUAGCAUUUUUAUUUUUCAAUUUUUUCAAAAACAAAACACUAAUUUUUUUUUUAUANUUUUUUUUUUUGAGAGAGAUAGAUAGCAUGCUACCCGCUUCGUUUAUUUCAUUUAGAAAUAAACUCAGCUGGAAAUGUGAAUCAACUAGGAUUCAAACUUGGGUCUCGGAUACCAACCACCAAGCCCUUUGCCACUUGCUCUAUGGACGGUUAGUACGAGGGAUGGUAGUUGUCAGCCAAAACUUUGAUAUAUAGAUAAGGCCCACAUUUACACAUUCAUAUAUGGCCUUUUAACUUUUAAGAGGAAUUUUUUAAUUUUUUAAUUUUUUUUUGAGAGAGAUAGAUGCUAUCGGUUUCGUUUAUUUUAUUUAGAAAUAAGUUUAGCUAGAAAUGUUAAUCAAUUAGGAUUCGGACCUCGGGUACCAACCAUAAAGUCCUUUGUCACUUACGCUAGGGACAAUCGGUUUAAAUUUUUUUUUUUUUUGAGAGGAGCUAAAAUUGAGGAUACCUAAUACGAUUUGCAGUGAAUUUUA